rnacentral:piRNA from 1 species
UCUGAGCUGCCUGUAGUGGAUGA